UACGUAGGGUGGCAAGCGUUAUCCGGAAUUAUUGGGCGUAAAGAGUGCGCAGGUGGUUGAUUAAGUCUGAUGUGAAAGCCCACGUCUUAACCGUGGAGGGUCAUUGGAAACUGGUCGACUUGAGUGCAGAAGAGGGAAGUGGAAUUCCAUGUGUAGCGGUGAAAUGCGUAGAGAUAUGGAGGAACACCAGUGGCGAAGGCGGCUUCCUGGUCUGUAACUGACACUGAGGCGCGAAAGCGUGGGGAGCAAACAGGAUUAGAUA
rnacentral:rRNA from 1 species